UACGUAGGGUGCGAGCGUUAAUCGGAAUUACUGGGCGUAAAGCGUGCGCAGGCGGUUCUAUAAGACAGAUGUGAAAUCCCCGGGCUCAACCUGGGAAUGGCAUUUGUGACUGUAGAGCUAGAGUACGGUAGAGGGGGAUGGAAGUCCGCGUGGAGCAGUGACAUGCGUAGCUCUGCGGAGGAACACCGAUGGCGAAGGCAAUCCCCUGUACCUGUACUGACGCUCAUGCACGAAAGCGUGGGGAGCCAACAGGAUUAGAUACCCGCGUAGAGC
rnacentral:rRNA from 1 species